rnacentral:rRNA from 1 species
UACAGAGACCUCAAGCGUUAUCCGGAUUUAUUGGGCGUAAAGCGCAGGUAGGCGGACGUAUUAGUCGGAUGUCAAAUAUCCCGGCUCAACCGGGAGCAGGCAUUCGAAACGGUACGUCUUGAGGGUGUGAGAGAUCGGUGGAAUUCAAGGUGUAGUAGUGAAAUGCGUUGAUAUCGUGAGGAACACCCAAGGCGAAAGCAACCGAUUGGCACACAUCUGACGCUGAGCUGCGAAAGCGUGGGGAGCGAAUGGG